UACGGAGGGGGCGAGCGUUGUCCGGAAUUAUUGGGCGUAAAGAGCUCGUAGGCGGUUUGUUGCGUCUGCUGUGAAAGCUUGGGGCUUAACUCUGGGUUUGCAGUGGGUACGGGCAGGCUUGAGUGCGGUAGGGGAGAUUGGAAUUCCUGGUGUAGCGGUGGAAUGCGCAGAUAUUAGGAAGCACCCCGAUCGCGGAGGCCGGUCUCUGGGACGUUACUGACGCUGAGGAGCGAAAGCCAGGGGAGCAAACGGG
rnacentral:rRNA from 1 species